GCUUACGGCCAUACCACCCUGAGCACGUCCGAUCUCGGAAGCUAAGCAGGGUCGGGCCUGGUUAGUACUUGGGUGGGAGACCGCCUGGGAAUACCAGGUGCUGUAAGCU
rnacentral:rRNA from 1 species